rnacentral:rRNA from 1 species
CCUACGGGCGGCAGCAGUGAGGAAUAUUGGUCAAUGGACGAGAGUCUGAACCAGCCAAGUAGCGUGAAGGAUGACUGCCCUAUGGGUUGUAAACUUCUUUUAUAAAGGAAUAAAACGAGGCACGUGUGCCUUUUUGCAUGUACUUUAUGAAUAAGGAUCGGCUAACUCCGUGCCAGCAGCCGCGGUAAUACGGAGGAUCCGAGCGUUAUCCGGAUUUAUUGGGUUUAAAGGGAGCGUAGAUGGGUUGUUAAGUCAGUUGUGAAAGGUUGCGGCUCAACCGUAAAAUUGCAAUUGAUACUGGCAGUCUUGAGUACAGUUGAGGUAGGCGGAAUUCGUGGUGUAGCGGUGAAAUGCUUAGAUAUCACGAAGAACCCCGAUUGCGAAGGCAGCUUACUAAACUGUGACUGACAUUGAUGCUCGAAAGUGAGGGUAUCAAACAGGAUUAGAUACCCUUGUAGUC